rnacentral:rRNA from 1 species
GACGAACGCUGGCGGCGUGCCUAAUACAUGCAAGUAGGACGCAGUUGCGCACGGGUGAGUAACGCGUAGGUAACUACCUAUUAGAGGGGGAUAACUAUUGGAAACGCUAGCUAAUACCGCAUACUAGUAGAUGGACCUGCGUUGUAUUAGCUAGUAGGUUGGGUAAUGGCCUACCUAGGCAACGAUACAUAGCCGGGCUGGAAAGGUGAUCCGGCACACUUGGACCUGUGAACGGCCCAUGAUCCUUCGGGGGGGAGGAGUAGGGAAACUUCGGCCAUGGGGGGAACCCUUACCGAACAACUCCGCGGGAGUGAAAGAGGUUUUCGGGUCGGAAAGCUCUGUUGUUAAGGGAGCGGUACUUAACCAGAAAGGAACGGCUAACUACGUGCCAGCAGCCGCGGUAAUUC